UACGAAGGGGGCGAGCGUUGUUCGGAAUUACUGGGCGUAAAGGGCGCGUAGGCGGCCGAUCAAGUCAGAUGUGAAAGUCCUGGGCUUAACCUGGGGACUGCAUUUGAUACUGAUUGGCUUGAAUGCAGGAGAGGAUAGCGGAAUUCCCAGUGUAGAGGUGAAAUUCGUAGAUAUUGGGAAGAACACCGGUGGCGAAGGCGGCUAUCUGGACUGUGAUUGACGCUGGAGGCGACGAAAGCCGUGGGGAGCAAACGGG
rnacentral:rRNA from 1 species